GGUUGCAACGAGAAAGCUUUGCGAUCUUCCAUGGAUGCAGAUUCCGAUCAGUUUAUGUUUAACGGUUUCCUUGAGAAAAGAGACUUGGUUUAGUGUUUUUGGCGAAUGGUAAAGGAAUACACAUAUUGACAUAUAUGUGCAUUCUUUCAUAUGCGUACCAUACAUACAUUCAUAUGGAUACCAUACAUGCAUUCAUAUGCAUUAUGCAUACCAUACAUGCAUUCAUAUGGCAUACCAUACAUGCAUUCAUAUGCAUACAUUCAUAUGUAUACAUUCCUAUAUGCCCACUCGUAUGUUUAUUUAUGUAGAUUCAAGAUUUACUUCCAUUCUUCUCUCUUUGUUAGAUUUUGUUUAGCUUAUACAUUUUGUCAUUUCAGCGUCACUCAGAAACUUUACAUUCUGUUUAGCUAGAAAGCCUCUCACCCAUCUGAGUUUUGUAUUUUGGUUUGAUUUUAAAAAGAUGAUUUGUUAAAUGACAAUGGAGAACUCGUUUCUACUACUCAGCAUGCUCUCUCUGAAUACCAGAGUGACUGAAUUUUCACCACUUGCUCUGCUUGCUUCAUCCUCCCCUAAAAGAGUCUCUAUUCAAGCAAGCUGCAUAUGGCGUAGAGGUUGAGUGAAUAUAGGAGCUUAGAAUCUGGAGUAUCCAACGUUUCUGUACGCCAUUGUCUACGACAAAGAUGAGUAUUCUUCUCUCCUUCUAUUACAGUCGUCACCACGACAGUUCUGUUGCUCAUCAGCGGAAUCCCUUGAAAGAGACAUGUCUAGCCUGAAAGAUGUCAGGACCUUUAAUUUUCUAAGAAAAAAGAAGAAGUUCAUGUUAAGAUUAGAUACACUCGGAAUCCGAAUUCUAAAGACUUAUCAGGAGGAAUGGUCUUAUAUCCCUGUCGGUGGUUCCUUGGCUUUGGUGCUGCAGGCUAUUCAGUUGUGAGAUCUUUGUUAGAAGCUCCAAAAUACGCGUCAGUCAUCGCGGAUAUACUAAAACAUGAUACUACUUCCUUCACCAAACACAUCAAAAAAGAUGAUUUGUUAAGUGACAAUGGAGAACUCGUUUCUACUCAGCAUGCUCUCUCUCUCUCUCUGAAUACCAUAGUGACUGAAUUUUCACCACUUGCUCUUGCUUCAUAUGGUUUACCAGAAGCAUAAAAUUCUUUGUUCAAUGAGAGUUAUUAUCAUUAAGCCCUUGUCUAGAAUACAGACUCAUCGAGUAUACUUGUGCGUUUUAUAGGUAUCUUCCCUCAGGGAUUAACUCACCGCCGAGUCAUGAGAUCGAAUUUUGCAGGAGCAAUUGGCGAUAGGACAAAAAAAAGAAUAUGCACCAUGGACUCUAAAAUGGCAGAGUCUAUGUCAGACCAUGGAACUCUAAAAUGGGAGAGACAUAACGAGAGUCCUUUCAGCCAGGUAUCUUGACAUCAUUCUACAGCUGAACUAUAUCUGGAUAUGAGAAAGAGUACAAGCAAGAUCCACGAUGAGACUAUAUUCCACUUGUGGGAGCAGUUAUGAAAACUAAAAUUUUACAGAAACUACAAAAGUGAGAGAAUUAACUUCAUACAGUGAGGUGAUGAAAAAUGGUGCAGCAUAGGUGUGCCGAGUCAGGUGUCUCAUAUCUUUGCUUGAAAUUUGAGAGCAUAACAGAAGCUCCUGAUGGCCUUAGGCUCGUUGCCUGUCAAAAACAAAAUACACCGUUGUUCCGUGAGUGGAAUCAGUGAUAUGGCUUGCCAUUGUUGCUUCUGGAGCAGCUCUUGCAGUACGAAGUUGGAGGACCUAAAAGUCUCUAUUCAAGCAAGCUGCAUAUGGCGUAGAGGUUAGAAUCUGAGCCUGUUCUGUUUUAAAAUCUUCAGGCGGAAAACAGUCCGUGUAUUACAGAGAGCAUAGGAGCUGGAAUCCCUUGAAGGAGACAUGUCUAGCCUGAAAGAUGUCAGGACCUUUAAUUUUCUAAAAAAAGAAGAAAUUCAUGUUAAGAUUAGAUACACUUGGAAUCCGAAUUCUAAAGACUUAUCAAGAGGAAUGGUCUUAUAUCCCAGUCGGUGUUUCCUUGCCUUUGGUGCUGCAGCUAGCACGGUACAUCCCUCAACAGGUUAUUCAGUUGUGAGAUCUUUGUCAAAAGCUCCAAAAUACGCUUCAGUCAUCGCGGAUAUACUAAAACAUGAUACUACUUCCUUCACCAAACAUGAUACUCCUCCCGGUGAUGUGUUGGUUUUAGCAAGAAACGUGCACCAAAGCUGAUGAAAAAUGUUUACAUGUACCAAACCGAAUAAGUGUGCCAGAGAGUGGGAAGUGCAAGCAGAACUUGCAUCAUUUCACCAUUCAGAUAUGUAGUAAAUUCCAUAGCCAAUUUAAUACGUACACUCGAAAUCACAACGGCUAUGCUAUCCACAUAAAGUGUGAUCGUUGUAGUUUUGGAAACACACAUUCAUGGGUUCAUGCAUACAUACAUUCAUUUAUAUUUCCUUCUUGGUCAA